GAUGAACGCUGGCGGCGUGCCUAAUACAUGCAAGUCGAGCGAACGGAUGAGAAGCUUGCUUCUCUGAUGUUAGCGGCGGACGGGUGAGUAACACGUGGAUAACCUACCUAUAAGACUGGGAUAACUUCGGGAAACCGGAGCUAAUACCGGAUAAUAUUUUGAACCGCAUGGUUCAAAAGUGAAAGACGGUCUUGCUGUCACUUAUAGAUGGAUCCGCGCUGCAUUAGCUAGUUGGUAAGGUAACGGCUUACCAAGGCAACGAUGCAUAGCCGACCUGAGAGGGUGAUCGGCCACACUGGAACUGGGACACGGUCCAGACUCCUACGGGAGGCAGCAGUAGGGAAUCUUCCGCAAUGGGCGAAAGCCUGACGGAGCAACGCCGCGUGAGUGAUGAAGGUCUUCGGAUCGUAAAACUCUGUUAUUAGGGAAGAACAUAUGUGUAAGUAACUGUGCACAUCUUGACGGUACCUAAUCAGAAAGCCACGGCUAACUACGUG
rnacentral:rRNA from 1 species